AUGUCGAGCACUAGACGCUGGAGGGGUGGCCGAGGGGGCCGCGGCGGCUUGCCACCGCGCAAGGGCAGCCAUGACGACGAGGUCGGGAGCUCCUCCCUCCGUCCGCCAGUGAAGGAGUGGCGCAAAGUGCAGGUGCGCGAGUACAACACGCUCUCCCAUAGCGGUGGCCAGCGGGCGUGGCGGAAUUUCGACCACGUCCACAAGAUCUUCUGGCCGACAACCAAGCGCUUCCGGGAGGGCGGAGCACGCGUUCUUAGAGGCGAAGGAGGCGGUCGCCGCCAGAGAAGAAGGUGUCGCGGUGCAGCCGGAGGCGGCGAAGGAGGAGUACGACCUCACCUUCGUCCUCUCCAACUCCUUGAUGGAUUAGCAUCUCCACGUCAAGAAGGAUUGCGAUGA
rnacentral:rRNA from 1 species